UUAUGAUAAUGAUUCAUUGCAUUUGAUACAUGUAAAUUUGUAAAUGAUAGAACUUUGGUAAGAUAUAUCUGAAACCACAUUGUUUUCGACUACUUAUCUUUUCAUUAAUGUAAUCAGACAACAUAUUAUCAGUCAGUAAACACAUUAUCAAGGUUAUAAAUCAAUAAAAAUAAUAGUUUGUUAAUUAGCCUGCUUAUCAAAUAUAGUGAAAUAAGUUAUAUGCUCAUAUCAUAAAACGUUUGUACCCUCAGCCAGUCUGUCCUUUAUACUCUUAGCAGAUCGGAUCAUGCUGGGCAGAGAUUAUAUCUAUAAAAAUGACAGUAACAUGUGAAUUUCUUUGAUGUUGUAGCAUUUGUAUAAAUAAUAAAACAUUUGUAAAUAUAAAAAAUAUCAUUUUCAUAUUAAAUUUUGCGCAGGCAAAAAUCGUAAUUUUUGACUUAAUUUUCAGGCCAUACUUAAUGAAAAUAAUUAAUUGAACGUUUUAUCAGGUUGUUUUUGUAAACAUGCUUUGAUAAUCAUAAUAUUGCUUUGUCUUUCCGUGAAUAUCAGAGAUUGUGAAAAUUAUGAUAAUUCAACAACUGUCAAAAAGUUCAGAGGAGGAAGAUGAAAUUAUUAAGAAAAACAUACAAGAUUUUGUGACAGAUAGUGUGAAUGAUGAUAUCUCAGGUUGGAGACGGUAAAGGUUAAAAUUAUGAUAUGCUUAAACCCAGAUCGCCAUAGUGUAGGUGGACGAAAGAAGAAUGCUAAUUAAGAUAUAUGAACAUUGCUAUUUGUAGUAACAUCAAGAUAUUCACAAUAUUGUUCCAUUUAACAUUCAGAUAAAAA